ACAGUGUUUAACGCUCAUUUCUAUGGAAGAGGCAGACCAUAGACAAACCGUGCUAAACUUUGUGAGUCAUCUUGCUGGUGGGAGGUAGAGAAACCGUGUCCCUGUCCCUUGCCUUGUGAAUUUUGAUGCCUUGUCAAGGAGGAACUGGCAUAGCAUCUUUCUUGCUAUACCAGCUGAAAAUGGUCAACAAAUGGAAAAGUAGGAAGUGAGCAGUGAUGAGCAGCAGGUCUUGGAAGGGUGGCUGAGAUGUCAGCCAACUGACUAAGGAGGAAAGUGAAGAGCCAGGAGAGGAGGCACCUUUAACCUGCUCCUGCUGGACCGCUGAGGACUGAGGAGUGUGUCUUCUGCUCAGUGUGUGUGUGUGUGUGUGUGUGUGUGUGUGUGUGUGUGUCAGAGACAGAUGGAGGAGCCCGCAGCACGGUGAGCAUCUCAGACUUUCUUAUUGGUGUAAAAGGAAAAAAAAAAAACAAAUCUCUGCACCUCCAUUCCUUCCUGUUUACCUUUCUU